rnacentral:rRNA from 1 species
UACGUAGGUGGCGAACGUUAUCCGGAAUUAUUGGGCGUAAAGGCUGCGUAGCUGGUGUAGUAAGUUAUCGGUGGUAAAUCGAGGCUCAACCUCGUGGAAGUCGGUAAUACUGCUAUGCUAGAGGAUAGGAGAGGUUAACGGAACUCCCUGUGGAGCGGUGAAAUGCGUAGAUAUAGGGAAGAACACCAAUAAGGCGAAGGCAGUUAACUAUUCUAUUCCUGACAUUGAGGCAUGAAAGCGUGGGGAGCAAAACGG